UACUCCUACGGGAGGCAGCAGUGGGGAAUAUUGCACAAUGGGCGGAAGCCUGAUGCAGCGACGCCGCGUGAGGGAUGACGGCCUUCGGGUUGUAAACCUCUUUCGACAGGGACGAAGCGCAAGUGACGGUACCUGUAGAAGAAGCACCGGCCAACUACGUGCCAGCAGCCGCGGUAAUACGUAGGGUGCGAGCGUUGUCCGGAAUUACUGGGCGUAAAGAGCUUGUAGGCGGUUCGUCGCGUCGAUUGUGAAAACUUGCAGCUCAACUGCAAGCUUGCAGUCGAUACGGGCGGACUAGAGUACUUCAGGGGAGACUGGAAUUCCUGGUGUAGCGGUGAAAUGCGCAGAUAUCAGGAGGAACACCGGUGGCGAAGGCGGGUCUCUGGGAAGUAACUGACGCUGAGAAGCAAAAGGCUUCUCCCA
rnacentral:rRNA from 1 species